rnacentral:lncRNA from 10 species
GCAAGGUCCCCUCAGAAUUGGCCUGGGGGGUUCUAGUGAGAUUUCUUCCCAUGCGGAGACUAAGACCACAGGUCACCCUCAGCUCCUACUCACCCUCAGUCCAACCCAGAACACCCCACCGUUGGCCCCAUCUCUGAGCUUUGGGCACUCCAGAGAACAAUGUAUUGGCUUCCUCAGUGAUGUGGCUUCUUCCACGGGAGAGCACUGAACUGUGAGCCACAGUGGCCCCAUCUGGUGGCUGUCCUGCCUACUUCCCAGCCUCGUGAUCUUGGGCAAGUCAAUUCCCAUCUCUGAGCCUCAAUUUCCUCAUCCCUCUCCUGGGCUGUGGUGGAGAUGACAGGGUCCAGUGGUCAGGAAGCAGGCUGACGGCUGCAAAAUGUCCCUGGGAAAUGACAGGACACCCAGAUCUGCUGGGAGCAGAGUUCUCAUAGGGUCCCAGCUGAGCCCUGGAACUCCCCAGACCCCCUCUGCCACUCCAUCUCUGCGUCAGCCCAGCACCUGUGCCCUAUCCGGCUUUGGCCACCAUCUCCACCCUGGGGAGGGGGAGCAUAACCCCCUCCAGCCUGAGGUUGGCGCCAAGGUUUAGGAGCCAGCACAGAAGCCUCUGAGAGCCAUAAGGGUAGAAAAGGUUACCCGGUACUAAACCAGCCAGCCUCGGGGUGAUCUCAUCCACUUCCCAAGAUAAGCCCCCUCCCCCACCCUCUGGCCACUGGCCAACAGGGUAAGUCACGAGGGAGCUGGUGGAAGAGUGUGUGUGAGGGCUGGGGGAAGGAUUUCAACUUGGGGUCACACUGUACAUUCUGUUUUGUGAUCAAUUCCCCCCAACAUUUACAGUAUUGACAAUUAGCAGUUUCCUGUCAGAUAAACUAUAAAGAUCUUCCCCCAUCACUUUUUCUUUUCCUAAUUAUUUCUAAAGUCUGCCAGGAUGGACACAUCAGAAUCUCUUUGUCCAGCCCUUGAGGAGGACAUGUAAACAGUGUCCAGUUUCUCUUUCUUACAAACACCAGUGCCAUAACCAUUUUUGUUCAAAUCCUCUUACGCAAUUGCCUCUCUCUCUCUCUCCCUUUCUCUCUUUCUCUCUCCCUCUCUCUAUUUCUCACUCAGUUGAGAUAAAUUCUGCCUGGUAGCAGGUGGGAGGGCAGGCCUCACUGUGUGCCUGAGUAGUUCUGGGCCCUUCCCCAAGCCAGAGGUGCCAGGCCCAGGGCAGAGGCCAGUCCAGGGCCACAGGGUCAGGACAGUGGACAGGCUAUGGUCUGCUGGACUCUGCCUGCUCGAGGCGGGCUCCCCAAGCUUCCACCUGCUCUUGCCCACCCCCAGCCCCAAGGACUAGGCUGGCCUGGACACAGGGAAAGGCCAUAUACAGGGUAUCACAUGACCCAUGCGUGCACACAGCCCCCAAUCCCAGGCAUAGGCAGAGGUCCCAGCCUCAGGGUGGGGCCCCCACACUCCGUCCAAUUCACAUCUUGCCUAGUGCUCCCCAGCUCUUGCUAGAAUGCUUCCAUAGACCAACAGCUCACUCUCCCUCCUAAGUUGCUGCCCGGCCUUUGGGGAGCAGGUGGAGCACAUGCUUCUUAUCAAAUCAAUACCUAUUCGGUAGAAUCACAUGAUUGCUGAGGAAGGUUUGGAUUCAGACACCAGGGUUUCAAACUCGACUCUGCAUUUACUAUUUUUGUGACCUUGGGCACAACCUUUUACAUGCCCAGGCUCAGUUUCUUCAUCUGUAAAAUGGGUUAAUAAUACUUGAUCAUAGGGUUGCAUGAAGAUUAAAUGAGAUAAUACAUGUAAAGUGCUCAGCAAGGCUCACAGAUGUGACCUAGUUUAUGAUCACAAAUUAUCACAAAUUGAGUCCCUACUAUGUCCAGUUAACAGAGAGACUCCCUCACUGGAAGCAACUCAGAGUGGCUGAAGCACAGAAGUGGUAGAGGUAUGAGAUGGGGUUGAAGAGUGGGCAGGGCCAGGUCACACUCAGCCUUGCACAUCAUGAAGGGAUUGUGACAUUUUUCUGACUCCUUGGAAGCAGGGGAGGAUGGUGGGAGGCAGAAAUGGGAGGAUGUCACUGAAAGCUUUUAUUAUUUUUUUUAAUGAUUUGUUUGUUUGUUUGUUUGUUUGUUUUAGAGACAGGUCUCUAUUGCUCAGGCUGGAGUGCAGUGGCAUGAUCAUAGCUCACUGUAACCUCAAACUCCUGGGUUCAAGCGAUCCUUCUGCCUCAGCCUCCCAAGUGGCUGGAACUACAGGGGUGUGCGACCACUCCUGGCUCAUUUUGUUCAACAUUAUUUUGUUACAACAUUGAUGAAGAAAAAAAUCUAUUUCUGGCUGGGGCUACUGUCUGUGUGGAGUCUGUAGAGGACUUUCUCUGGGUACUCUGGUUUCUUCCCCCAUCCCAAAGAUGUGCAUGUUAGAUUAACUAGCUUGUCUGCAUGCUCCCAGUCUGCAUGAGUGUGAGUGUACUCAAGGCAAUGGCAUCCUGUCUAGGCCUGGUUCCCGCCUGGCGCCCUGAGCUGCUGGGAUAGGCUCCAGCCAUCCAUGACCUUGAACUGGAAUAACUGGAUAAAUAAUUCUAUUACUUGUUUUUAUUAAUCUUUCUUUCUUUCUUUUUUUUUUUUUUUUUUGAGAUGGAGUUUCACUCUUGUUGCCCACGCUGGAGUGCAAUGACACAAUCUUGGCUCACUGCAACCUCCGCCUCCUGGAUUCAAGAAAUUCUCCUGCCUCAGCCUCCUGAGCAGCUGGGAUUACAGGUGCCCACCACCAAGCCCGGCUAAUUUUUGUAUUUUUAGGAGAGACAGGGUUUCGCCAUGUUGGCCAGGCUGGUCUCAAAUCCCUGACCUCAGGUGAUCCACCUUCCCCAGCCUCCCAAAGUGCUGGGAUUACAGGUGUGAGCCACCACACCUGGCCUUGUUUCUAUUAGUCUUUCUUACACGUGUUUCAAUGUUUAAUAUGAGAAGCAUUUGGGUCUUUAUUUAGAAGUCUGAUGAUAUUUCUAUCACCAGAAAUAUGCUGUAGGAACUUAACUCUUGUUUAUGUCAAUUAGCCUAUGACAAAAUUGGUUUCCUUGUAUGUCAUUUUGCUUAAAGCUGCAAUUUCCAAGAACUACAUUAAGUGAGGACAUUAUAUAAAGACUUACUAUAUUCUAUUAGUUGUUGUCAGGCCUCUGAGCUCAAGCUAAGCCAUCAUAUCCCUUGUGACCUGCACCUAUACAUCCAGAUGGCCUGGAGCAACUGAAGAUCCAC